rnacentral:lncRNA from 1 species
GCUGUCCUUUGCGCUGCUUUUGCUCUGCAUCACUUCGCUCCCAGCGUUCUCUGCGUUCCGCCUACCGCGUCACUCCCGCCCUGCUUCGCACGCGUGAGGAGCUAAGUGCGGCUGCGCGAGUUGACCAGUGAGGAGGGCGUACUGUCUACUUCUUUUCUGUCGCUGACUUCCCGCAGAGUGAUGCGAGGGUUCUCGAAGCAUCCAGGACAGCUUGCAAGGAUGUCUAGGGCUCUUCAGCCCUCAGGACUCUGGAGGAGCUCUUUGUUCAGUAUCUAGCCACCUGUUCCUACAGACACGGCAGUGGCAAAGCCAAGAAAGCGCUGACAUACAGUGACUUAGCCAGCGCUGCCGAGGAUUCAGAGACACUUCAGUUUCUCGCAGAUAUAUUACCAAAGAAGAUUUUAGCUAGUAAGUACCUGAAAAUGCUCAAAGAGAAGAGGGAGGAAGAGGACGAUGAUGACGAUGGUAGCGACCUUGGUGAAGUGCCGGCUUAGGCCAGCAAGAAGAGCUCUCAGCGAGUCCCGUGAGCACACACAAGGACACACUAGCAGCUGCGAAGUGGAGGGACUGCAGCGUUGUCUCAGACUUGCAACUUGUUGCAUUCGCUCUUUCAGUGGGAAGGACUAGACAGCAGCCUCCUCCACAGGCCCUUCAGUCACCUCGUCUCCCACUAGGAGAGUCCUGGGCAGAUGGCACUGCUCUGGCUUUGGGUACAGCAGCACAUACCACUGAUCACACUGAACUUGCAGGAAGACCCAGGAAGCUCCAUGUCAGCUGCAUAGUCUUGUGGACAGACACUCUGUUCUCACAAACAGCUGCAUGCAUAC